GGACUCUGCCCCCUCACCCUGGCCAGGCUUUGCCAGCAGCCCAGGGCUCCUGUGUGGGCUAUGAGGAGGAGUGGGCGAGUGGGUCUCUGUUCCCUCCCUGUGACUCCAGAUGGGAUUCUGUGGCUGUUUCGACCAACAUUUUAUAGGAAGUCAUGCUACAUGACUUCAGCGGCUGUAUCAUGAAAGGCCAGGUUCUGUCUGGUUCUCCUGGCGCGCUCACUCUGGAGGGAGCUGCUGCCAGUCUUUCAGGUCUGUGUGAAGCUGUCUUGGACCCUCUGGCCUAAUCUGUCGGUCAGCUGAGUCCCACUGAGUGACUACUGAUGAUGCCACAGGGAGCAGAGGAAUUGCCCAGUUGCCCAGCCAAGUCCUGGCUUAAUUCCUGAUCCACAGAAUCUGUGAGAGGAUGGGUGUUCCAAGGGCUGCUUUGUUCUCUGCUGUGUGACCAUCAUCCAGCACAAAGCCUGGCGAACAGUGGGGC
ensembl:lncRNA